rnacentral:rRNA from 1 species
GACGAACGCUGGCGGCGUGCUUAACACAUGCAAGUCGAACGGAAAGGCCCUGCUCUUGCGGGGUGCUCGUGAGGCGAACGGGUGAGUAACACGUGAGUAACCUGCCCUUGUCUUUGGGAUAACUUCAGGAAACUGGGGCUAAUACAGGAUAGGAGCUCCUGCUGCAUGGGGGGGGUUGGAAAGUUUCGGCGGUUGGGGAUGGAAUAGAGGCUUAUCGGCUGGUUGGUGGGGUAGUGGCUUACCAAGGUUUUGACGGAUAGCCGGCCUGAGAGGGGGACCGGCCACAUGGGGCCUGCGAUACGGCCCAGACGGCUACGGGAGGCAGCAGUGGGGAAUAUGGCAGAAUGGGCGGAAGCCUGAUGUAGCAACGCCGCGUGCGGGAUGACGGCCUUCGGGUUGUAAACCGCUUUCGCCUGUGACGAAGCGUGAGUGACGGUAAUGGGUAAAGAAGCACCGGCUAACUACGUG